GAGAAUCAUUUGAAGGUUUGAGCCUUGAGAGAGCUUUAAAGCACAUUGAAAGAUGCUCAACAUCAUUACUCAUUAGGAAAAUGCAAAUUAAAACCAAAAUGAGAUACUACUUUGCACCCACUGGGAUUACUGUAACAAAAAAGAUGAACAAUAACAAGUGUUGAUGAGGAUGUGGAGAAAUUGGAACUCUUAGACACCGCUAGUGGGAAUGCAAAAUGGUACAGCUGUCUUGAAAAACAGUUCAGCAGUUCACUAAAAAGUUAGAGUUGGCAGGGCAUGGUGGCUCACACCUGUAAUCCCAGUAUUUUGGGAGGCCAAGGUGGGCAUAUCACAAGGUCAGGAGUUUGAGACCAGCCUGACCAACAUGGUGAAACCCUGUCUCUACUAAAAUUACAAAAAUUACCCGGGUGUGGUGGUACACACCUGUAAUCCCAGCUACUCAAGAGGCUAAGGCAGUAGAGUCACUUGAACCCGGGAGGCAGGGGUUGUAGUGAGCUGAGAUCGUGCCACUGCACUCCAGCCUGGGUGACAAAGUGAGACUCCGUCUCAAAAAAAAAAAUAAGUAAGUUAGAGUUACCACCUGACCCAGCAAUUCCACUCCUAGGUGUAUAUCCAAGAGAAAUGAAGGUAAAUAUUCACAUAAAAACUUGUCCACCAAUGUUCAUAGCAGCAUUAUCCAUAGUAGCCAAAAUUGGAAACACCCCAAAUGUCCAUCAUCUAAUGAAUGAAUAAACAAAAUAUGAUACCCCCAUACAAUGGAAUAUUAGCUAUAAAAUGGAGUGAAGUUCUGAUACAUAUUGCAACAUGAAUGAAUCUUUAAAAUAUAAUGCUAAAUGAAAGAAGGCAGAUACAAAAGGCAACAUAUUGUAUAAUUUCAUUAAUAUUAAAUAUCCAGAAUCGGCCCUGCGCUAAUCUCAGCACUUUGGGAGGCCCAGGCAGGAGGAUCCCUUGAGCCCAGGAGUUCAAGACCAGCCUGGGAAACAUGAUGAAAUCUUGUCUCUGCAAAAACCACAAAAAACUAGCUAGGCAUAGUGCUGCACAACUAGUAGACCCAGCUACUCAAGACACUGAAGUGGGAGGAUCACCUGAGCCCAGGAGGUCAAGGCUGCAGUGAGCCCUGGUCAUGCCAGUGCACUCCAGCCUAGGUGACAGAGCGAGCUCCUGUCUUGAAUAUAUAUAUAUAUAUCUCCAGAAUAGGCAAAUCCACAGAAAUAGAGUGUAGGUUAGUGGUUAUCAGGGGCCACUGAAUUGUACACUUUAAAAUACUGAGUUUUUUAUGGCAUGUGAAUUAUAAAGACUUGCACCAGAGUGACCCAUGAGGAAAGAACAGCAAUGCUGUAAGCUCAGGCUUCAAACAGGGGAACCCAUCCUCCUGGAGGGUCAUGAAGAUUUUCGAUGGGGUACACAAGCAUGAAUAAUUUUAUGGUAAUCACUUCUCACAACUCUGAUGUGUAUACUCUUCCUUAACAUUAAUCUGCCUGAGAAUUUACCUUUCACUUCUCCACUUUCACAAUAGCUUUUCCUUUGCUUUUAAAAGAAAAGCUAUACCUUUCACUUAUCCUGAAUACCGUAUUACUAUGAGGGUAUUGUCCUGGGGUUGAAAAUGUCUAGAGCCAGCCUGGCCAACACAGAGAAACCCCAUCUCUGCUAAAAAUACAAAAAUUAACCAGGUGUCGUGGUGCGUGCCUGUGGUCCCAGCUACUUGGGAGGCUGAGACAGGAGAAUCGCUUGAACCUGGGAGGCAGAGGUUGUAGUGAGCACAGAUCACGCCACUGCUCUCUAGCCUGGGCUACAGCGAGACUCUGUCUCAAAAAAAAAAAAGAGAGAGAGGCAGAGAGAGGGUCCAAAGAUAAAGAUUGUGAUGACUAUGUAGAAUGUUUUCAGACUUUAGACAUGAAAUAAUUUUUAGUUUGACAAGGUUUAGGGCGCAGCCAUGGGAGUGGGUGGCUGAAGUGAAAGGGAGACUCAUUAGAUUCGAGGAUGUCAAGGAGCAGAAAGGCCGGAUAGCUGGAUGGGUCAUUGAGGUGGAUGUUCAAGUCACCCAAGCUGUUGUAGGAUUGUAAUAGCCCAGUUGCUCUCAAACUUUAGUGUGAGUCAGAAUCACUUGGAAGGCAUAUUAAAAUAUAGUUUAGCCGGAUGCAGUGGCAUGCACCUGUAGUCCCAGUUACUUGGGAGGCAGAGGCAGGAGAAUCGUUUGAGCACAGGAAUCCUGGGCUCUAGUGUGCUAUGCCAAUCAGGUGUCUGCACUAAAUUCAGCAUCAAUGUGGUGAUCUCCCAGGAGCAGAGGACCACCAGGUUGCCUAAGGAAAGGUGAACUGCCAGGUUGGAAAUAAAAGAGGCCAAAACUCCUGGGCUGGACAGCAGUGAGAUCACGCCUGUGAAUAGUCUCUGCACUCCAGCCUAGGUUACAUAGCAAGACCCCAUCACACACACACAUCCCUCACACAUACACACACACACCACACACAGACACACCACACACACACACACACACACACACACACACACACACACACACACACAGUUUACUGGGCCUUACACCCAGAAUUUCUGAUUCAGUUGGUCUUGGUGGCCCAGUAAUUUGCAUUUCUAACAAGCCUCACCUGGGAACAAGGGUCGGGCCCACACUUUAGCAAUUAUUGGAGUAGAGUGCAGAUUGAGUCAGGCGUCAAGGUCUUCUAUGAAUGUAUUCAGUUGAUGACAGCAAUGAAGAGGGAGAGAUAGCAACCUUAAAUGGUUGAUUUAAAAUAUGACCCUAACACUUGGAUGUUUCACCCGGUAGCCAGUUCUUUGCCCACCUUGGCCACAUAUUUCUCCCUAACCACAGCAGAAGUUUGGGCAACCUUCAGCUCUCCUCCUUGGUUUUAAACUCUGUGUCCAAGGGCUUUAAUUUCCUUUUUUUUUUUUUUUUUUACGGAUGCUAUUUUUUUUUUUUUUUUUUUUGUAUUUUAGUAGAGACAGGGUUUCACUGUGUUGUCCAGGCUGGUCGCGAACUCCUGAGCAAUCCGC
rnacentral:lncRNA from 1 species